UCCGGUUUAUCACCAGCAGUCUCCUUAGAGUUCUCGGCCGAACCGUUAGCAACUAAGGACAAGGGUUGCGCUCGUUACGGGACUUAACCCAACAUCUCACGACACGAGCUGACGACAGCCAUGCAGCACCUGUCACCGCGUUCCCGAAGGCACUCUCAUAUCUCUACAAGAUUCGCGGGAUGUCAAGGGUAGGUAAGGUUCUGCGCGUUGCAUCGAAUUAAACCACAUGCUCCACCGCUUGUGCGAGCCCCCGUCAAUUCCUUUGAGUUUUAGCCUUGCGGCCGUAUUCCCCAGGCGGAGUACUUAGCGCGUUAGCUACGCCACUAAGAACCGAAGUUCCCAACGGCUAGUACUCAUCGUUUACAGCGUGGACUAC
rnacentral:misc_RNA from 1 species